AUACAUGCAGUCGAGCGGACAGAUGGGAGCUUGCUCCCUGAUGUUAGCGGCGGACGGGUGAGUAACACGUGGGUAACCUGCCUGUAAGACUGGGAUAACUCCGGGAAACCGGGGCUAAUACCGGAUGGUUGUCUGAACCGCAUGGUUCAGACAUAAAAGGUGGCUUCGGCUACCACUUACAGAUGGACCCGCGGCGCAUUAGCUAGUUGGUGAGGUAACGGCUCACCAAGGCGACGAUGCGUAGCCGACCUGAGAGGGUGAUCGGCCACACUGGGACUGAGACACGGCCCAGACUCCUACGGGAGGCAGCAGUAGGGAAUCUUCCGCAAUGGACGAAAGUCUGACGGAGCAACGCCGCGUGAGUGAUGAAGGUUUUCGGAUCGUAAAGCUCUGUUGUUAGGGAAGAACAAGUGCCGUUCAAAUAGGGCGGCACCUUGACGGUACCUAACCAGAAAGCCACGGCUAACUACGUGCCAGCAGCCGCGGUAAUACGUAGGUGGCAAGCGUUGUCCGGAAUUAUUGGGCGUAAAGGGCUCGCAGGCGGUUUCUUAAGUCUGAUGUGAAAGCCCCCGGCUCAACCGGGGAGGGUCAUUGGAAACUGGGGAACUUGAGUGCAGAAGAGGAGAGUGGAAUUCCACGUGUAGCGGUGAAAUGCGUAGAGAUGUGGAGGAACACCAGUGGCGAAGGCGACUCUCUGGUCUGUAACUGACGCUGAGGAGCGAAAGCGUGGGGAGCGAACAGGAUUAGAUACCCUGGUAGUCCACGCCGUAAACGAUGAGUGCUAAGUGUUAGGGGGUUUCCGCCCCUUAGUGCUGCAGCUAACGCAUUAAG
rnacentral:rRNA from 1 species